CCCACCCGUGUCUAUCGUACCUUGUUGCUUCGGCGGGCCCGCCGUUUCGACGGCCGCCGGGGAGGCCUUGCGCCCCCGGGCCCGCGCCCGCCGAAGACCCCAACAUGAACGCUGUUCUGAAAGUAUGCAGUCUGAGUUGAUUAUCGUAAUCAGUUAAAACUUUCAACAACGGAUCUCUUGGUUCCGGCAUCGAUGAAGAACGCAGCGAAAUGCGAUAAGUAAUGUGAAUUGCAGAAUUCAGUGAAUCAUCGAGUCUUUGAACGCACAUUGCGCCCCCUGGUAUUCCGGGGGGCAUGCCUGUCCGAGCGUCAUUGCUGCCCUCAAGCACGGCUUGUGUGUUGGGCCCCCGUCCCCCUCUCCCGGGGGACGGGCCCGAAAGGCAGCGGCGGCACCGCGUCCGGUCCUCGAGCGUAUGGGGCUUUGUCACCUGCUCUGUAGGCCCGGCCGGCGCCAGCCGACACCCAACUUUAUUUUUCUAAGGUUGACCUCGGAUCAGGUAGGGAUACCCGCUGAACUUA
rnacentral:rRNA from 1 species